CGUGCUUGACAGUUAUACCAGAAUCAUCUAUAAAAUGGAGGUAAGUGCACAGUACGGAUAAGCAAGCUCGAGCCAGAACUCUACUACUUUCUACAUUCAAAAACUACUGUUCACCAACUUCUUUUUCUGACUUAAACAUCGGAGGGUCUCCGUCGGACACCAAUCCGGUCCGUGUGGAUGCUGUCUUGCAGGUGCUCGUUUCUAGCGACAGACAACGGCGAGUUGGCCGCAACAGAUUGACGCAUCAGAUAGGAGAAAAGAUUAUAUACACCAUGAUGA
rnacentral:lncRNA from 1 species